UGGGGAAUCUUGCACAAUGGGGGCAACCCUGAUGCAGCGACGCCGCGUGAGCGAUGAAGCCCUUCGGGGCGUAAAGCUCUUUCGACCGGAACGAUAAUGACGGUACCGGGAGAAGAAGCACCGGCUAACUCUGUGCCAGCAGCCGCGGUAAUACAGAGGGUGCAAGCGUUAAUCGGAAUUACUGGGCGGAAAGGGCGCGUAGGUGGUUAAUUAAGUCAGAUGUGAAAUCCCCGGGCUUAACCUGGGAAUUGCAUUUGAAACUGAUUGGCUAGAGUACGGGAGAGGGAAGUGGAAUUUCCGGUGUAGCGGUGAAAUGCGUAGAUAUCGGAAGGAACACCAGUGGCGAAGGCGACUUCCUGGCCCGUUACUGACACUGAGGCGCGAAAGCGUGGGGAGCGAACA
rnacentral:rRNA from 1 species